rnacentral:rRNA from 1 species
UAGGGAAUCUUCGGCAAUGGACGAAAGUCUGACCGAGCAACGCCGCGUGAGUGAAGAAGGUUUUCGGAUCGUAAAACUCUGUUGUUAGAGAAGAACAAGGACGUUAGUAACUGAACGUCCCCUGACGGUAUCUAACCAGAAAGCCACGGCUAAUUACGUGCCAGCAGCCGCGGUAAUACGUAGGUGGCAAGCGUUGUCCGGAUUUAUUGGGCGUAAAGCGAGCGCAGGCGGUUUCUUAAGUCUGAUGUGAAAGCCCCCGGCUCAACCGGGGAGGGUCAUUGGAAACUGGGAGACUUGAGUGCAGAAGAGGAGAGUGGAAUUCCAUGUGUAGCGGUGAAAUGCGUAGAUAUAUGGAGGAACACCAGUGGCGAAGGCGGCUCUCUGGUCUGUAACUGACGCUGAGGCUCGAAAGCGUGGGGAGCAAACAGG